GUCUAUUUUUCUUAUUAUAAUUAUUAUAUACAUUUUGUCUUGAAAGAGAAACCACACCACAUCGCCAUUUUAAAAGUAACAAAUUUUUUAGAUUGAUGAUAAACUAGUGAGGAGAUUGAAAUUCAUUUUGAUGCUACUGAAAAAACAAGUCGUCUCCCUCCUAUGAUGUUGUGGUGCAUCUGUUAAAUUUCCAUCUUGAAGACUCUUGUAGUUAAUUAAUUAAGAUUGUCCUAACGGGUGAGAA